rnacentral:rRNA from 1 species
UACAGAGGUCUCAAGCGUUGUUCGGAUUCAUUGGGCGUAAAGGGUGCGUAGGCGGCAGGGUAAGUCUGGUGUGAAAUCCCGGGGCUCAACCCCGGAACUGCACUGGAUACUGCUUUGCUAGAGUACUGGAGAGGGAACUGGAAUUUACGGUGUAGCAGUGAAAUGCGUAGAUAUCGUAAGGAAGACCAGUGGCGAAGGCGAGUCCCUGGACAACACCUGACACUGAGGCACGAAAGCUAGGGGAGCAAACAGG